GAUAAACGCUGGCGGCGCACAUAAGACAUGCAAGUCGAACGAACGAGAGCAAUUCUUUUAGUUUUGUUCAAGUUAGUGGCGGACUGGUGAGUAACGCGUGAGCAACCUGCCUACGAGAGGGGAAUAACAGUUAGAAAUGACUGCUAAUACCGCAUAAGCUGAUAGAACCGCAUGGUUUAGUCAGAAAAGGAGCAAUCCGCUUGUAGAUGGGCUCGCGUCCGAUUAGCUAGUUGGUGAGGUAAAGGCUUACCAAGGCGACGAUCGGUAGCCGGACUGAGAGGUUGAACGGCCACAUUGGGACUGAGAUACGGCCCAG
rnacentral:rRNA from 1 species